rnacentral:rRNA from 1 species
UACGGAGGGGGCUAGCGUUGUUCGGAAUUACUGGGCGUAAAGCGCACGUAGGCGGCUUUACAAGUCAGGGGUGAAAGCCCGCGGCUCAACCGCGGAAUUGCCCUUGAGACUGUAUCGCUUGAACACGGGAGAGGUGAGUGGAAUUCCGAGUGUAGAGGUGAAAUUCGUAGAUAUUCGGAAGAACACCAGUGGCGAAGGCGGCUCACUGGACCGUAGUUGACGCUGAGGUGCGAAAGCGUGGGGAGCAAACAGGG